UCUUCUUCAUGUCGUCGUUGACUACACAUCAGAUUUUGAAAGUAAUAUGCCAUUGUGGACUGACAGUCCAUGCAGAACCAGACAAAAGGCGAUUAAUUCAUCCAGCUGCACUCUGCACAGAGGUAAAGAUUCAUCUCAAUUGUGAGUGCAAUUAUUCUCUGGACAGAAGAUUCAGAACUUUAUAAAAUGGAUGAUGCAUUGAGUACCAAGUUCAUUCAGAGGCCUCUGCCAUGACUGUGCAUGUGGAAUGGCUAUGCGCUCUAGUUCCUACCACCUACACCUUUCUCUGUGAUGGUCUUUUGAUGUAUCCUGAACUAUGAGGGA
rnacentral:lncRNA from 1 species